UGCAAGUCGAACGGUGAUGAUCAAGCUUGCUUGGUCUGAUCAGUGGCGAACGGGUGAGUAACACGUGAGUAACCUGCCCCUGACUCUGGGAUAACCCCGGGAAACCGGAGCUAAUACCGGAUAUGACACCAGUCCGCAUGGGCAUGGUGUGGAAAGUUUUUCGGUCUGGGAUGGACUCGCGGCCUAUCAGCUUGUUGGUGAGGUAAUGGCUCACCAAGGCGACGACGGGUAGCCGGCCUGAGAGGGCGACCGGCCACACUGGGACUGAGACACGGCCCAGACUCCUACGGGAGGCAGCAGUGGGGAAUAUUGCACAAUGGGCGAAAGCCUGAUGCAGCGACGCCGCGUGAGGGAUGACGGCCUUCGGGUUGUAAACCUCUUUCAGCAGGGAAGAAGCGGAAGUGACGGUACCUGCAGAAGAAGCACCGGCUAACUACGUGCCAGCAGCCGCGGUAAUACGUAGGGUGCGAGCGUUGUCCGGAAUUAUUGGGCGUAAAGAGCUUGUAGGUGGUUUGUCGCGUCUGCUGUGAAAAUCCGAGGCUCAACCUCGGACUUGCAGUGGGUACGGGCAGACUAGAGUGUGGUAGGGGAGACUGGAAUUCCUGGUGUAGCGGUGGAAUGCGCAGAUAUCAGGAGGAACACCGAUGGCGAAGGCAGGUCUCUGGGCCAUUACUGACACUGAGAAGCGAAAGCAUGGGGAGCGAACAGGAUUAGAUACCCUGGUAGUCCAUGCCGUAAACGUUGGGAACUAGGUGUGGGUCUCAUUCCACGAGAUCCGUGCCGCAGCUAACGCAUUAAGUUCCCCGCCUGGGGAGUACGGCCGCAAGGCUAAAACUCAAGGAAUUGACGGGGGC
rnacentral:rRNA from 1 species